GACGAACGCUGGCGGCGUGCUUAACACAUGCAAGUCGAACGGAAAGGCCCUGUUUUUGUGGGGGGCUCGAGUGGCGAACGGGUGAGUAACACGUGAGUAACCUGCCCUUGACUUUGGGAUAACUUCAGGAAACUGGGGCUAAUACCGGAUAGGAGUUCCUGCUGCAUGGUGGGGGUUGGAAAGUUUCGGCGGUUGGGGAUGGACUCGCGGCUUAUCAGCUUGUUGGUGGGGUAGUGGCUUACCAAGGCUUUGACGGGUAGCCGGCCUGAGAGGGUGACCGGCCACAUUGGGACUGAGAUACGGCCCAGACUCCUACGGGAGGCAGCAGUGGGGAAUAUUGCACAAUGGGCGGAAGCCUGAUGCAGCAACGCCGCGUGCGGGAUGACGGCCUUCGGGUUGUAAACCGCUUUCGCCUGUGACGAAGCGUGAGUGACGGUAAUGGGUAAAGAAGCACCGGCUAACUACGUG
rnacentral:rRNA from 1 species